GGGAAAAGACCAUCUUGUAAAUUCCUUUUUUAAAAUAAAAAUCAGGAGCACUUUCCAAAACAUUACAAAUCAAACAGGAUAUAAGUAUCCUCCAGUUAAGUAAUUAGUAACAAGCUAUAUCCAGUCAAGCAAAGCAAAAUACUGUAUAUUCAUGCUCCCUUUUGAUGAUAUUCACAAAAGGAAUUUACAAGAUGGUCUUUUCCC
rnacentral:misc_RNA from 1 species